AGCGAACGCUGGCGGCAGGCUUAACACAUGCAAGUCGAGCGGGCAUCCUUGUGGUGUCAGCGGCAGACGGGCGAGUAACGCGUGGGAACGUACCCUUUGGUUCGGAAUAACUCAGGGAAACUUGAGCUAAUACCGGAUACGCCCUUUUGGGGAAAGGCUUGCUGCCGAAGGAUCGGCCCGCGUCUGAUUAGCUAGUUGGUGAGGUUAUGGCGCACCAAGGCGACGAUCAGUAGCUGGUCUGAGAGGAUGAUCAGCCACACUGGGACUGAGACACGGCCCAGACUCCUACGGGAGGCAGCAGUGGGGAAUAUUGGACAAUGGGGGCAACCCUGAUCCAGCCAUGCCGCGUGAGUGAUGACGGCCUUAGGGUUGUAAAGCUCUUUUCUCCGGGACGAUAAUGACGGUACCGGAGGAAUAAGCCCCGGCUAACUUCGUGCCAGCCGCCGCCGUAACAC
rnacentral:rRNA from 1 species